CCUACGGGAGGCAGCAGUGAGGAAUAUUGGUCAAUGGACGAGAGUCUGAACCAGCCAAGUAGCGUGAAGGAUGACUGCCCUAUGGGUUGUAAACUUCUUUUAUAUGGGAAUAAAAUGUUCCACGUGUGGGAUUUUGUAUGUACCAUAUGAAUAAGGAUCGGCUAACUCCGUUCCAGCAGCCGCGGUAAUACGGAGGAUCCGAGCGUUAUCCGGAUUUAGUGGGUUUAAAGGGAGCGUAGGUGGAUUGUUAAGUCAGUUGUGAAAGUUUGCGGCUCAACCGUAAAAUUGCAGUUGAAACUGGCAGUCUUGAGUACGGGAGAGGUAGGCGGAAUUCGUGGUGUAGCGGUGAAAUGCUGAGAGAUCACGAAGAACUCCGAUUGCGAAGGCAGCUCACUGGACUGCAACUGACACUGAGGCUCGAAAGUGUGGGUAGCAAACAGGAUUAGAUACCCGGGUAGUC
rnacentral:rRNA from 1 species